rnacentral:rRNA from 1 species
AUGGACAAGUUAAGGGCUGGAAUGAAGAAUGAAUACACCAGGGUUUUUGAUUAUCAGCUGGAGCUACUUAGAAGUAAUCCUGGAAGCACUGUUGCAGUCUGUUUGGAUCCAACAAACAUGGAACAGAACAUAUUUCAGAGUUUCUAUGUCUGCUUUAAUGCACUGAAGUUGGGAUUUAAGGCUGGCUGCAGGAAAGUGAUUGGUUUAGAUGGUUGUUUUUUUAAAGGUGAUGUCAAAGGAGAGCUAUUGUGUGCUGUUGCAAGAGAUGCAAACAACCAAAUGUAUCCAGUGGCAUGGGCAGUUGUUGAGAGGGAAACUAAUGAUACAUGGAAGUGGUUCAUUGCCCUGCUUAUUAAAGAUCUUGAGAUUAAUGACAAUGGAGCUGGCUGGGUGUUCAUUUCAGAUCAGCAGAAGGGACUGAUAAAUGCAAUGAAGGAUUAUUUGCCAAAUGCAGAGCACAGAAUGUGUGCUAGGCAUAUCUAUGCCAACUGGAGGAAGAAGCAUAGGGAACAUCAGUGCCAGAAGAAGUUCUGGGCAGUUGCCAAAGCAGCAAACAAGCAGGACUUCAACUACUAUAAAGCAAAGCUUGCCCAAGAAACUCCAGAAGGUGCAAAAGACAUCAUGAGAAUAGAGCCAGUGCACUGGGCAAGGGCUUUUUUUCCAGUGGGAUCCAAUUGUGAGUCUGUUGAUAAUAAUUUGUGUGAAUCCUUCAAUCAUGCAAUUGUUGAAGCAAGGUUUUAUCCAAUAAUUUCAAUGCAAGAAAAAUAA